rnacentral:rRNA from 1 species
CAACACACAAGCCGGGCUUGAAGGGCAGCAAUGACGCUCGGACAGGCAUGCCCCCCGGAAUGCCAGGGGGCGCAAUGUGCGUUCAAAGACUCGAUGAUUCACUGAAUUCUGCAAUUCACAUUACUUAUCGCAGUUCGCUGCGUUCUUCAUCGAUGC